UGCAGUUCGAACGAUUAAACUCCCUUUCGGGGGAGAUAUAAAGUGGCGCACGGCCUGAGAUAACACGAUAGAGUUAAUUUGCCUUCGGGUGGGGAAUAACAGUCGGAAACGACUGCUAAUACCGCAUAAUGCAGCGGCAUCUAUGAUGACAGUUGUUAAAGCGGGGGAUCGCAAGACCUCGCGCCUGAAGAGAAGCCUGCGGCAGAUUAGCUAGUUGGUAAGGUAAUGGCUUACCAAGGCGACGAUCUGUAACCGGCCUGAGAAGGCGGUCGGUCACACUGACACUGAAUAACGGGUCAGACUCCUACGGGAGGCAGCAGUCGGGAAUUUUGGGCAAUGGGCGAAAGCCUGACCCAGCAACGCCGCGUGAAGGAUGAAGCAUUUCGGUGUGUAAACUUCACAAGAUUGGGAAGAAUAAGAAAGGGCGAAUAUCCUUUUCGAUGACGGUACCAUUUGUAAGCUCCGGCUAACUUCGUGCCAGCAGCCGCGGUAAUACGAGGGGAGCAAGCGUUGUUCGGAUUUACUGGGCGUAAAGGGCGCGUAGGCGGCGCGACAAGUCAGUUGUGAAAUCUCUGAGCUUAACUCAGAACGGUCAACUGAUACUGUCGUGCUAGAGUGUAGAANGGGCAACUGGAAUUCUUGGUGUAGCGGUGAAAAUGCGUANAUAUCAAGAGGAACACCUGCGGCGAAAGCGGGUUGCUGGGCUAACACUGACGCUGANGCGCGAAAGCUAGGGGAGC
rnacentral:rRNA from 1 species